CUCUAUAUUUAAUUGUCUAUCACUUCCAAAAGAAAUUAGACAUGGAAAGUCCUCGAUGACGUAAUAAUGACAUCAUGCAAACUGACGUACGUGUUGAAAACAGCGAAUAUAGUGGUUUCGCAAAGUGACGUACGCGAAAGCUUUUAGCUGUCGGCAAAGUGGAGGACGAACUGUCGUACGUAUAUCAAUCUUCAGUAGAUGGUUCUGACUACAGGGGCUCUGAAAAUUUUCGUCCUGCAGGCAAGUACCACUUAUCGGGAAUGAAAUCAAGAAGAAGGUGAUAUAACUUUGUAGUGAAAUUGAUAUUUUGCCAUCUCCUUUUAAUCGACAGAUACCAUAUCACGAAUAUGAAGUCAAUGGCUUAUUAUCUUUUAUUCGUUGUUAAUUUCUGGUAUGUUGUCAAGCCCCCC